rnacentral:sRNA from 1 species
GUGCCAAUGGGGAUCUCGAAGAUUGAAAUGACCGAAAUGUCUUCUCUAAGCACAAGAAAGGGAUCCAUAUUUUUUUUUGAUGUACCCUAUCGGCUGAUUUGGUUAGCUUUGUUAGGAAUGCACCGAAGUGUUAUAGAGUAGACUUCUCUCGAUACAGGUAGAAUUGAGCUACCAUACAGUCUGAUCCGAAUUUAUAAUGCUUUCCGACUAAUUAUAAGGGAUUGUAAGGCCGCCUACAUUUCUAACUAUCAUGUAAACCAGUUGGACAAAGACCCAAGUGACAGACUUCCCAAACAAAUGUAUUUUUGUUUUUAGGGAUAAUCGAACUUAGGUAUCAGAGUUUUACCAUUCACCAAAACUUUCUUUUGCCACU